UGGAGAAACUGUUUGCCUUUGACAAAUCAUACAGAAACAGUGAUCCUGGCCUUACCAUAGUCUUUGCUUGCUCAAGAUCCUUGAAAAAUACAAAAGCAAGGCAUGUUUAGCAAUCAUGUAAAACCUGCAGCGCGCUUGCUCUACCAGGUUUGACAUGAUCAAAAGGAGUAAAGAAGAGAGAAGACUACUUUAACUGUCAUGUUAUAAAGUCCACAACUAAUGUAACUGUGAAUUUGAAGAUGUUGAUAAGAAAGGUACCUCAGGUGGGCUUAGCUGAUAGAGCUUGGAGGAUAAGAAUUUGGGUCCAAAAACUAUUGUUGUGAGAUGACAUUGAGAGCUGCUGUAUGGUAAAAAUUGAGUGUCCAACCAGUAAUCCGCCGGGGUCCUCUCGUUAAACUUUAUAGAUUCAGGGGAAAAAAAAAUAGAGAAGAAUUCAACUUGAGAAGCAAUUGAUAAUUUCAAAUAGCACUUCAAAGAAUUAUUAAUAUUUUUUUUUUGCCAAUAUUUCUAGCAGUACCUGAUCCAAGACAAAUGAUGGCUUGUGUGUGGUAUCUGGCAUGAAAGCUGAUAAGAAAACAGCAACAGCAAUCUUCUCUGGGAACUUUUCCAUAGCAAGAGCCAAACUCAAACCUCCUAGGCUGUGCCCUACUAGAAUAACCUUCUCCUUCGGUUGUAAUGAGGCCAGAAACU